CUUAGCAUAUUAUAACGCCCACCGCAUGGUUUGUUGUUCCGCUUGGAUUUUUUUUUCAGUUGUUUGACUGGCUUUUAGAUGAAAAAUACUUUUUUCCAUCACUUUUGAUGUUGUAGAGAGUUACAAGAUAAGUAGAAAUAUGCAAGAGGAUUAAUCUUGUGGGAAAAUUAACCAGUUUUCUCACUAUGAGCCAGCUGAAUUCAAGCACCUUGCUUGAAGGUGACCUACCCAACAGGAUACCGGGAGGGGUGGCAGGGACUCUAAAGAUGGAGAUGUUGUGGGGGCAGGCAACCUUUCAACAGAAAUCACUGUUAAUUAGGUUUAAUAACAUAUCAAGUGGCACCUAACACACAGAAAUAAAAGGCUGAAAUCUCUGGGCAACUGUAUGUUUUCUGGAUCUGGUGUGAGGCAGGAGUCAGGAGUAGAUAACCAGGGUAACUGCAGAUAGAGAUCACUCUGUCUGUGUUCCUAACACAGCCAACACAGACGCUGCUGAGGAGGGAGAGUACCAAACCUUAUGUGCCACGUCAUUUCUCUUUUGGAAGAGUUUUGGGGGUCCAUCUACACCUUCCUUUCCUUAGCUUACAUUCUUUUUCCCUUCCCCUGGAUGUGACACAGCAGCCAGUUUUACUAGGAAGCUGAAAAUACCACCUCUAACUGGCCUUUCUCCCUUCUGUGACCCUACAGGUUGCCUCACCUAAAAUUAAGCAGCAUAAAUAGUUCACAAUAACCCAGGUAUGCAUUACGGAGUAGGCACUUGACCUCAGUGAUUUAAAAGAAUUUAGGUAUGUAAAUAAGACUUCACUGUCUGUGGAUCUGUACCAUAGCUAUUUGGUCUGCAUUGCUAGCAAUGAAACUUUGGAAUUUCUUGGUUAAUUGUAGGUCACAUGAGAGAAGGGCUUGGAUUUGACACCCUGGGCAUGAUUCCUUCAAGUUCCUAACUGGAAUCUAGGGGCCAGGAAGAAGCUUGCCCAAAUGCAAGAAGAGUUCCCCCGGCACAGGACAGAAGUCUUCAUGAGGACAGGCAGAGAUCCCUGUAAAACUGCCUGUAUCUGCGUGAUGUUGCUAAUUUACCAAAGGUAAAUAUUGCACAGUCACCGUAGGUGCUCAAGCAAAUUGUAAUCCCUUCUUUGUUGGAACAUAAGCUAAACGACGUCAUCCAUCCUGUAUUAACUUACGUGAGGAUAAACUGAUGAAUGAAGCCAAAUACGGUCAGAUAAUGAACAAAAACACGAUGUCAAGAUUUAUUUGCAUUUACUUGGUAGCCCAGGAAAAAGAGCUGUGAUGGCUGCAGUGAUGAGCCCGAGGAAUGUUGCUGGCAUUGAGAGCUCUCCGCUGUGUCACACAUUCCUGUGUUUUGCAGUCACAUUAAGAUCUGAAGGAAUUAGCCCCAGGAAAGCUCAGAGUUUAUUUCAGGUGGGUAAACUCUGUUUUCUGGUCUUUUGGUCAGCGGUGGGAAACAUUCAUAGUGAUUUAAGAAAAGAUCAACAGGCUAGAUAAGAAUUUGUUAUCUUCCAGAUGGCAGGUUCCAAAAGCAGAGAAGAGUGCGGCUUCUGUCAGGUGUGGGCCAGGAAUUACCAAGAAAUUUAACUCCGUUCCAAAAAUGUUAACCAUAUUGUUCACGCUCAGCAGCGAGGGGGCCUGUAGCUGCUGCGAGAUUAACCUUCUGACCCCAACAAGAGUUUAGACCAGCCUGUCAAAAGCAUUAUGCUUGAAGGCAGUAAUCAUUCUUUAUUAGAAGAACAGUGGCUUUGCCUUGGUUCCUGCUGCCUACCUAUGGAUCGCGUUUCAGUUGCAGGUCCACCUUUAGGAAAUGGCGUCUAGUUUAAUUAUUAACAACUGUGGAUUCCUAAAGGCUAUGCACAGACACUGCUCCAGGCCGGUCUAAUUCACUCUUAAAAAGCAAAAAGCAGCCCAUUGUGAAAAUGUACUGAUCUGGUCUAACAGCGAUUUUUCCUAGGGCUGCUAAGGAGGUGAUAGUAACCUAUUUCAGAGCAGGUAAAUAUUUUCAAUAAUGGAAUUGGGAAAAGUUUUGAUUUAUAUUUUCAAGCAAACGUAAGAGCUGAGGUUUUAGAAUGGCUGCACAUCUCUGCAUGGCCACUGCUCUUGGAUCAGGCUAUUGAUCUAUCCUGUGGAAGUUGCUGCUCUUAAGAAAGCAGCAGUGAAAUUGUUGCAGCCUUGGUGGUCCGGAGAAGCGCUUUGAGAGAGCAGUAACAGCCCCUACAGCUGUAAAAUGGGAGCAAGCUUUUGGGCCUGGAAGCACUUCAAUGGGAUUGCACAGUCAUCGGCUGAUGCCAGGGCUCAGCUUCCACAGCUUGGUUGAUCUCUGGCUGCACCAUCAUGUCUCCCAAGACAAGUUAUGGUCGUAAUCGUUUUCCAGAAUUGUGGGUUCUUUUUCUUUUUUUUUUCAUCUUUGUUGGCAAAUUCUCAGUAAGAUAAAGUGUGAAGCAACUUAGGGUCUCAUUCAGUAGGCUGAUUCAGUACAGCAGACUCUGUAGUGGUUCAGAUAUUCCCUCAUGACGAUAUCACAGCAUGUAUUUGUCAUAAACAUGUACUGAAUGCUUGGGAACAAGAAAAUAACAAAUACAGGGAAUAGGAUUGUAGUCUUAAAAGCUGAUAUCAAAAUAGAUGAAAAGCAUUUUUAAAACAAAACCCACUCAUUUAAUAAUAUCGUUUUGUAGGGAACCCCCUGCAGAAACUUUAUAGCCAUUUCAGACUACUUACAUAGUUUCUGCAAACUUCUGGAUCCUUCCUGCAUCCACUCGCCCAACUUUUAGUUUUUCUGUUCCCACAUGAUGUCUGGGUGCUGAGAGUUGCAUUUGUGAAUGCUGUGGUUGAACACACCUCAUAUUUCUUUUUUAAACUUUUGCAACAUGAAGGAGGAAGACGAGGGAUGACAUUUCUACUUCUCAGGAGCUCUGUGGCUGUCCAUAUUAGUAAAGCAAUCUGGAAAGAGCUUGCUGACUACGUACACCUUAGGAGAAGCUAAGCCGAGGUAUUCCUCUGCAUUCCCCUUAUCCUUGUGUUUAUUUUGGUGAGGAUGCUAUCACUUGCUUUUUGCAAUCAAUAGGUGCUGCCAGCAUGGUCAUAAUAGGCCACGUUCAGCUGCAGCCUCCCUUGGGGCUGGUGAGCAUCUCUAUCCUAGGCUUUCAGGACAAAAAGCUGUAGCAAAGCCAUUCAUCUCAGGCACAGGCAUUACACCACAGGGGGAGGUGCCGAGUUUUUAAUGCAUGAAGUCACUGCCAUUCACAGUGAACUAAUGAAAACACUGUCUUUAGCUAUGUUUAAAAUCCCUUGGAUGCCUCUGUGUGUGUGUGCGCGCACAGUGAGGGACAGAUGAAUGAUACUGUGAGGUCUUUGAUACCUUUUUCAAUGAGGCUAAUUGUCUCUGCAUAAUUUUUGGACAAGCCUGCAAUAAUGAUGUUUGGUUGCUGCACAGGAUUAGCAUGUUUAGCAAUAGGAGAAGGAGAAAAAGGGAGAGAUGGCAUCCAGUACCUAGGUGAUGAGCCCGGCUUGGUGACAUGCAUCUGAAUGAGACAUGCCUAUUUAGCCCUAGCAUCAUUUUUCUAGCUAAUCAUGGAAUGUGCAUGACAUUUGUUAUUACUGUCAUUAUAACCCAUCCAUUCACGCUACUAGAUCUGCUAAGCUCUUCCCACAGAAAGUAAUGUGUAACCUAAAGGCAAGCAGGACUGAAUCUCACUGAGUUCUCAACAUCUUCAUUUUUGGGAGCUGGGUAACUGAAGCAGAAAUCUUCCUAAUUCAAUUUGAUAGGGACACAUGGGCAAACUUAAGGUUAUGUGCCUUAUAUUCACUUUCUAUUUCCACAUCAUAAGGUUGUGUUAUGAGUAUCUUUGAAUUUCUUGGCUUUCUAGCUUGUAUUAGUUGUUUCAUUUGUUACAAAGAACACUAUGUAAUUCAUUUUUCAUUCCCAUCAGAAGAACUGUGUGAUCAUCAAAUCACCUUCCUUAAGGCAGGUGAACUAGGAGACUGAGGGGGGCCCCCUGGCCCUGAAAUUAAAACGAGUUCUUCCUGUCUGCAUGCACUGGAUUAUUGUCCCAGUUCUGUCACCGACAGUGAUGUAUGACCAAAAUACUUGUCCUUUUAUGUAUUUAUUUUGCCCUGGUUAAAAACAUCAUAAUGAUUCUUGACUUGUGUGCCUUACAGAUGUACUACAGGAAAUGUCUGAGAUCGUUUGACAAAGUCCUGGUACCAAAAGCUGUGUAUACUAAGAAACACGAAGCAAAACAUUAGACACUUAACUCAGUGAUGUCUUUAUACAUUUUCCAUCACCCUAUAUAUCUGUGAACAACGAGGCCAAAAUGUACUAGGACAGGAUGUCAGUACUGAAGUACUGUGCAGUCUGCAAAUAGAUAUGAAAUUAGGGUGCUUUCAGUUCUCAGUCAGAACUUCUCCAUCCUAAUUGGAGUUAGAUAUUGGUUUGCUAUUACACAACAGAAGUGCAUUGUAAAUAAUGUUUUGAAUACCGCAAAUUUUCCUUUUCCUUUUUCUGUUUUGUUUUGUUUUGUAUCCUUCAAAAUGCUUCUACCAAUCCCUUGUUCAGAACAGAAAGUGGUCUUGCAGACCAGGCACAUUACCGUUGUUUCUCAAUCAAUCUGGGAUGUUGUGAGUUGUCUGAUGCUGAGAUUUUCCAUAAACCCAAGGUGCUGGUAAGGAUUUGGUUAGUCCCUGCAGUCCUUGAUAUGCUCUGAUAUUUUACGAAACUGAAUUUAGACAGCCAUGUAAUAAAUGGAUUUUAGAUGUAACAGCAGCAUUGCUCUCUUUUUGAAGCUAGUGGCAAACCUCCAGUUCCCCACCCAGUAUUCAAUGCCUGAAGAACUCAGCAAAGCUUCAGAGAUGGAAAAAAUGUAUUUUUACUAUUUACGCAGCAUUAGGUCUACAUCAAGUCAUGGUUCUUGGGAGCUGAAGCCUCUAAUCAAUAUGAAAGCCAAAUCUCUUGAGGGCACAGUGCUCAGAGGCACAGAGGCCCAGGUGGGAACAUAUGGGUGAACAAGGCAGGUACAGCUUCUGCCAGGGCCAUCGCAGGGCAAUGAUGGCAGGUGGGACAGCACUGGAAAUAUGGCCGGGAUGGUGCAGGCUGGAGUCAGCCAUAGUGGGAGUCACGCAGCCCAUCCUUUGAAGUCAGGGAACAGUUUCCAAGUGCCAUUUGUGCCCCUGGCUUAGUUUGCAUACAUGGCAUUACAUCACCCAACAAAGCGGCCUUCAGUCAGGCCCCGCACAAUGGUGAGGGGUUGGCGGUGCUCCAUGGGGGGUUAAUAGUUGCCCUGGGAACGCCACAUUCCAGCAUCAGCUGCUAAUGUGCAAAGCAUGCUGUUCAGGGCUGGCCAGGAGCAGAGCAUGGGAAAAUUCUUGCAUACUUUAUGAGACAGAAACAAACCUACUUUCAACAGAACAACAGCAACGCGUAAUCCCCCCCACCUCACCCACCCCUCUGCUACCGAAACGCUGCGGACCUUUGUGUGAGGGCUAGGAGGUUUGUGCUUCAGGGUGUUUUGCCAAUAAAAACAAAACAAAACAACAACAACAACAAAAAAAAACCAGGUUCCAAUCCAAGACUGAAUUUUCCACGUCUUGGGAGAGGAAUGAGCUUAGUGUUGAGCGUCUUAAGCGUAAUUUCACAGUGUAUCCAUACAGCCUUGGCCAGGCCAACGUAUGGGAGUUUAACACCUGAACAAGAGGAGCGCCAGCUGACCUGGCAUCAUGAAGCAGCUGUUUCUCUCCUUCAGUCCUUCUUUCUCUCCUCUUCUGCACUGCCAGCUCAAUGCUCUGAAAAGCAGCACUGCAACAUCGCAUAGUUGCCCCCAGAGCCCCUUCAUGGCAAGGUGCUAUUUCUGCAUGCAACCACUUCUUUUUUUGCGGGAAAAAAGCAAGACCAAAGAAGGCAAAAUGGCAUUGAAGACAGCUUCUGACUGCAAAGUUUAGUAAGGGUGUAUGCAUCUGUGUGUGCAUGCAUAGGAUUCUCAGUCUGUCCCCUCAUACAGGCAGAGCUGGCUUCAGCGCAGGCAAAUCUGGAGCACUGAAGUACUACAACCCUCCCUUUUUUGUCUCAGAUAGCAUCCUUAGGAAAAGAUAAUGGGCAGAGUUUGUGCACCUGGUUUGCAGUUGGGGCUGCAAGUGGAGCCUGAUGCUGGCAGUGCUGCAUCUCCGUGCCCCUGGAUGCGGCUGCUGGAAAUGUAUUUGGUGACAGGCCUUCGCCUGCUGGUAAUCCAGUGGAUACUGUGUGUUACUAGAAUGGGAGCACAUGGCAAACUCUUAAAAGGAACAUUGGUUUCAAAUCUCCCAAUCCCAUCUGUGCGAUGGUGGUGCUACAGCUGCAUGCUAUAAAAGCUGCAUGCUGUAAAAAAGACUCUUUUAACUAAAGACUUGAGAGAAGAUUUGCUUUUGUCUCCCCAGCUUGUUUACUCUGUAAAUGUGAUGUUAUGCAUUGUCAGUUCAGCUAUUUCCCCCCCUGCAGUCUUGUUCUGGAGAUGCUUUAUAUCUUGCUUUCACACAGCAUCUGAGGAGAGAAGCUGCUGUGCCGUAUGCCUGUCAAACUCCUACAGUAAAUUAGCAGGCCAGUUCGUAGAUAGAGCACUCGGUGCUACUUUAAACUUACUCUUUUAAUUCCUGUAGGAAGAGGAUGCAAUAUUUUUGAUCUAACAAGAGCUCUGAAGCUGGAUUUACAUUACCAAACUGUGGCCUGGAUUCUUCCUGGGUCUCUGGAUAACCUGAGACACAGCUCUAGUAAGUCCCUUUCACCUGUAGUUUGGUGCCUUUAAACCACAUUGGCUGUGACUGAAUACCGCUGCUGUCCCUCUCCUCCUGACACUUCUCUUCAUCCAGUUGCUCCUCAGUUGAGUGGUCUUUGCAGGCUGCCUUCCCCAGGAAAGAAUCAUUCCUGAGCUGUAAGAGCCCAGCCCUGGCUAUGUGCAGUGGUACACAGAUGUUCUACAACAUGCCUGGAAGCAGUCCAGCAAUAUUCGCACAUCACUGGAUUUAACAGUUUCAGAUGUCUCCACAUCAUGUUCCCCAUCAUGUCUGAAUCUGUUCCCAUGGGAAGGCAGACACCCCAGACAGAAAGGCCAGGCAGGAUGGAAGGAAAGCCUGUCAUCUGGAACCUUCCUCCCCCAGGCACCUGCAGUGCCCCAAGGACAAGGUCUCAAGGACUGUUCCUCUUCGAGCACAGGCAGAGAGCAGUCUCCAGCUGCCAGUUCUGCUCUCCAUCUCCUUCAGGUAUCUCCGCACCACCAGCUAAGCCACAAUCAGCAAAAAUAUGGUGUCUGUCAAACAAUCAACAUAUGUUUGUAUGAAGCAAAUGGAUUGUCUGGGGAUAUCUGUGUGAAUGUUACAAAAUCUGCUCCUAAACUGAAAAAGAGGGAAACAUACUGAAGAACAUGUUUUCUCCACAAAACAGCUUUCUGAUGAGCACUGUUUCCCAGUGAUUGUGACGGCCCACAAGAACUUUCAGCUGUUGGUCCUUCAGGUCACCGUGGGCUUUUUGUCUGUCCGUGGCUGUGAGAACAGCUCCUGCAAUUUGGAAUUGACCAACCUGUGCAGCCUACCCCGGGGCUGAGCUGCUGGCUGCAGCAGAGGAUGGGUUUGUGCUGCAAGGAGCAGUGCUCAGCGGAAGCCCAUCUGGUGCAAGGUUUUCAAGCUGCUUUGCUCAGCCACUUGAGUGUGCCACUCCAUUCCCAGCACUUCUCUGCAUGGAGAGACUGGGCUGGGCAUUGCAGAGAUGUUUUCUUCAUGAGAAGGACUUUCCCGAGACACUGCAGCUGGUGGAAGGGCUGAGUAAAGGUGGUAAUGCCACUAGUUCUGGGAGACGUAUUGCUUCACUCUGUCAGUGAGUGUAAAUCCACCACUGCUAUGAACAUUGCACAAGCACAUCCCUUCUUGGAAAAUAAAAGUCCGUCUUUAUCUCAGUCUCAGGAA